GUCCAGCUGAAGAGUCCCAAAUAGGACGAAACGCGCGUCCUGGAU
rfam:Schistosoma mansoni strain Puerto Rico chromosome W, complete genome